UACGUAGGCAGCAAGCGUUGUUCGGAGUUACUGGGCGUAAAGGGUGUGUAGGCGGUUUUCUAAGUCUGGUGUGAAAUCUCCCGGCUCAACUGGGAGGGUGCGCCGAAAACUGGAAGGCUAGAGUGCGGGAUGGGAGAGUGGAAUUCCUGGUGUAGCGGUGAAAUGCGUAGAUAUCAGGAGGAACACCUGUGGUGUAGACGGCUCUCUGGACCGCAACUGACGCUGAGACACGAAAGCGUGGGGAGCGAACAGG
rnacentral:rRNA from 1 species